CAAGAAGUACCGUUGUCUUUUACUCAAGUGUCUCCCUCCCCUACCUCUUGCUAAACCAGGCAUUUCUUUUUGGCAUUAUUUCAUAUGUCAAAUUAUGAGGAGAUAUCUGUACGAAAUAUUGAAAUGCAAGGAGCAGGAAUGUCAAAGUCACCUAAGGCAGCAAUCUUGGAAAUAAUUUUUCAUAUGAAUACUUUGGUAACAAUUGCU
rnacentral:lncRNA from 1 species